GAUUAACGCUGGCGGCGUGCCUAACACAUGCAAGUCGAGCGGCAGCGAGUUUUACACUGAAUUCUGGAAGCUUCUAGUUGAAAGAGAAGAUUUAUUCAAGAAUUUUGUGUAAAAUGUCGGCGAGCGGCGGACGGCUGAGUAACGCGUGGGAACGUACCCCAAAGUGAGGGAUAACGCAUCGAAAGGUGUGCUAAUACCGCAUAUGGUCUUCGGAUUAAAGCCUUCGGGCGCUUUGGGAACGGCCUGCGUAAGAUUAGAUAGUUGGUGGGGUAAUGGCCUACCAAGUCGACGAUCUUUAACUGGUUUGAGAGGAUGAUCAGUCAGACUGGAACUGAGACACGGUCCAGACUCCUACGGGAGGCAGCAGUGAGGAAUCUUCCACAAUGGGCGAAAGCCUGAUGGAGCAACGCCGCGUGCAGGAUGAAGGCCUUCGGGUUGCAAACUGCUUUUAUAAGUGAGGAUUAUGACAGUAACUGAUGAAUAAGGAUCGGCUAACUACGUG
rnacentral:rRNA from 1 species